rnacentral:rRNA from 1 species
GAUGAACGCUGGCGGCGUGCCUAAUACAUGCAAGUCGAGCGAACAGACGAGGAGCUUGCUCCUCUGACGUUAGCGGCGGACGGGUGAGCAACACGUGGAUAACCUACCUAUAAGACUGGGAUAACUUCGGGAAACCGGAGCUAAUACCGGAUAAUAUAUUGCACCGCAUGGUUCAAUAGUGAAAGUCGGUUUUGCUGUCACUUCUAGAUGGUUCCGCGCCGCAUUAGCUAGUUGGUAAGGUAACGGCUUACCAAGGCAACGAUGCGUAGCCGACCUGAGAGGGUGAUCGGCCACACUGGAACUGAGACACGGUCCAGACUCCUACGGGAGGCAGCAGUAGGGAAUCUUCCGCAAUGGGCGAAAGCCUGACGGAGCAACGCCGCGUGAGUGAUGAAGGUCUUCGGAUCGUAAAACUCUGUUAUUAGGGAAGAACAAAUGUGGAAGUAACUAUGCACGUCUUGACGGUACCGAAUCAGAAAGCCACGGCUAACUACGUG